rnacentral:ncRNA from 1 species
UAAAAGUUUAAUUCUUGCUUAAUUAUUUAUUGUAUGUUUUUUUUACAUGUAAAUUUUUGUAUGAAGGUUUAUAAUAAUCUUAAAGGUUAUUUUAAAGUAUUUUAUUCGCAGUAUUUAGUUUUAAUUAUUAAAGAAAUUUAGAAUUAGAAAUAUAUUUAUUAAUAUUGGUUAAUUUCGUGCCAGCAGCCGCGGUUAUACGAAAGAUGUGAAUAAAUAUUUUUAGUGUGUAGUUAUUUUUAUUUGGUUAAAUUUAUUAUUAGAUUUAUUAAGUGAAAUUUUAAAUUAUUUAUAAAUUUGAAUAAGAAAUUAUGAAGCUAUUAAAUUUUAUUAUUAAACUAGGAUUAGAUACCCUAUUAUUUAAAAUGUAAAUUUAUUAAACUUGAGUAGUAAUAGUUAUUUUCUUGAAACUUAAAGAAUUUGGCGGUGUUUUAGUCUUUUCAGAGGAACCUGUCCUGUAAUUGAUAUUCCACAAUAAUCUUACUUAAUUUUGUAUUCAAUUUGUAUACCGCCGUUAUCAGAAUAUUUUAAAAGAAUUUUUAAUUUUCGAGAUUUUUUAUAUAAAGUUAUUUCAGGUCAAGGUGCAGUUAAUAAUUAAGAAGAGAUGGGUUACAUUAAAAUAAUUUAUACGAAUUUUUAUUUGAAAAAAUAAAAUGAAGGUGGAUUUGAAAGUAAAAAAUAUUAUUUAAUAUUAUUGAUUAUAGCUCUAGAACAUGUACAUAUCGCCCGUCGCUCUCGUUGAAACGAAAAUGAGAUAAGUCGUAACAUAGUAGAUGUACUGGAAAGUGUAUCUAGAAAGUG